AUUCUAGAUCUUGAUUUAAACAUGACCAACACUUUGCUGUGCUUAUUACUUCCCAGUUUUCUCCUCUGCUGUGGAAAUCUUACAGCAGCACUAAAGCCAGUCCUGACUGUGUUUCCAUCUUGG